rnacentral:rRNA from 1 species
GAUGAACGCUGGCGGCGUGCCUAAUACAUGCGAGUCGAGCGAACAGACGAGGAGCUUGCUCCUCUGACGUUAGCGGCGGACGGGUGAGUAACACGUGGAUAACCUACCUAUAAGACUGGGAUAACUUCGGGAAACCGGAGCUAAUACCGGAUAAUAUAUUGAACCGCAUGGUUCAAUAGUGAAAGACGGUUUUGCUGUCACUUAUAGAUGGAUCCGCGCCGCAUUAGCUAGUUGGUAAGGUAACGGCUUACCAAGGCAACGAUGCGUAGCCGACCUGAGAGGGUGAUCGGCCACACUGGAACUGAGACAAGGUCCAGACUCCUAAGGGAGGCAGCAGUAGGGAAUCUUCCGCAAUGGGCGAAAGCCUGACGGAGCAACGCCGCGUGAGUGAUGAAGGUCUUCGGAUCGUAAAACUCUGUUAUUAGGGAAGAACAAAUGUGUAAGUAACUAUGCACGUCUUGACGGUACCUAAUCAGAAAGCCACGGCUAACUACGUG